rnacentral:rRNA from 1 species
GCGAAAGCGUGGGGAGCAAACAGGAUUAGAUACCCUGGUAGUCCACGCCCUAAACGAUGGAUGCUAGUUGUUGGAGGGCUUAGUCUCUCCAGUAAUGCAGCUAACGCAUUAAGCAUCCCGCCUGGGGAGUACGGUCGCAAGAUUAAAACUCAAAGGAAUAGACGGGGACCCGCACAAGCGGUGGAGCAUGUGGUUUAAUUCGAAGAUACACGAAGAACCUUACCUAGGCUUGACAUUGAGAGAAUCCACUAGAAAUAGUGGAGUGUCUAGCUUGCUAGACCUUGAAAACAGGUGCUGCACGGCUGUCGUCAGCUCGUGUCGUGAGAUGUUGGGUUAAGUCCCGCAACGAGCGCAACCCCCUUUCUUAGUUGCUAACAGGUCAUGCUGAGAACUCUAAGGAUACUGCCUCCGUAAGGAGGAGGAAGGUGGGGACGACGUCAAGUCAUCAUGGCCCUUACGCCUAGGGCUACACACGUGCUACAAUGGGGUGCACAAAGAGAAGCAAUACUGCGAAGUGGAGCCAAUCUUCAAAACGCCUCUCAGUUCGGAUUGUAGGCUGCAACUCGCCUGCAUGAAGCUGGAAUCGCUAGUAAUCGCAAAUCAGCCAUGUUGCGGUGAAUACGUUCCCGGGUCUUGUACUCACCGCCCGUCACACCAUGGGAGUUGUGUUUGCCUUAAGUCAGGAUGCUAAAUUGGCUACUGCCCACGGCACACACAGCGACUGGGGUGAAGUCGUAACAAGGUAACCGUAGGUGAACCUGCGGUUGGAUCACCU